rnacentral:lncRNA from 1 species
CGUUAAUAUUGAGUCACUGAUAAGGUCUUUGCAUCGGAACUAAACACAUUUAUUCUAAAAACAGUUGUUGGCAUGACACGGGUUAUGUUCUUCUCAUAUAUGUUAUGAUGGUAGGAUACUAAACCCCUAACGGGAAGGAUUGUGCCUGAUGUUCAUAUGAUGAAAUCAUAAUCUUUCAGUCAGUUUAGUUGAAGUCUGGAGCUGGCAUGUCAGUUAACUGCUAGUAGUCUGUUGUUAUUUAUGUAUUAUUGUCAUUUUGUUUAUUUUCUUUGGUUACAUCUUCU